rnacentral:rRNA from 1 species
AAUUAGGAAAUUGCUUAUUGCACCACAUGUGUUUUUCUUUGAAACAAACUUGCUUUGGCGGUGGGCCCAGCCUGCCGCCAGAGGUCUAAACUUACAACCAAUUUUUUAUCAACUUGUCACACCAGAUUAUUACUAAUAGUCAAAACUUUCAACAACGGAUCUCUUGGUUCUCGCAUCGAUGAAGAACGCAGCGAAAUGCGAUACGUAAUAUGAAUUGCAGAUAUUCGUGAAUCAUCGAAUCUUUGAACGCACAUUGCGCCCUCUGGUAUUCCGGAGGGCAUGCCUGUUUGAGCGUCGUUUCUCCCUCAAACCGCUGGGUUUGGUGUUGAGCAAUACGACUUGGGUUUGCUUGAAAGACGGUAGUGGUAAGGCGGGAUCGCUUUGACAAUGGCUUAGGUCUAACCAAAAACAUUGCUUGCGGCGGCAACGUCUACCACGUAUAUCUUCAAACUUUGACCUCAAAUCAGGUAGGACUACCCGCUGAACUUAAGCAUAUCAAUAAGCGGAGGAA